AAGAGGAAAAACCACAGUGCAUGAAAGGCAGAAAGCAUCCCCAUUUAAACAGAACUUCUACAGCAACUACACAAAUGUGUAUGAACCAAUUGUAAUUGACAGUGAUUCGGAGUCUGAGGAGUGCAAGGAAUAUAUUUAAGAGGAAAGCACAGAUGGAUUGACCACUGCAAACAUUGUGUCAAAUCUCUCAUCAAAUAUCACAAAAACGUCUUUCAGCAGAUUCAACCUAAAUCGAGCUAAUGUUUGGGACGGAGCGGUCCGGUGUUUAAAACGUGCUUCAUACGACCCAUCUAAUGAAAUGGUCGUAAAAUUCACAAAUGACGAGGGGCAAACAGAAGAAGGAGUGGACACUGGUGGUUCCAGACGUGAAUUUCUAACCCUUUUAAUGGAGUG